CUUUUUCUUCAUUCUUUCUACACAUGCACUUCCACAAACCCUUUUCUCCUCCACUUUUCUCCUCCUCUAGAACCUUCAUUCCCACUGUUCUAACCUAUCAUCCUUGCUUUGAAUUAAGAAGAAAACUCAAAGAUUUCUCUUCAUCUCUUGAGAAUGAGCUUUCCUUAGGGUUUUUGAGAAGCUUUGAGGAGGCGAGGCUUCAAUCAAGGGGAAAGAGCCGGUGGAGAAGUAACACCGGGGUGCUUUAGCUUGCCAAGUUUGUGAUAGCACAGCAACGGGAUAGAAGCGUGAAGUGCUUGGCAGAGUAGUUUGUGUUUUCUUAAGCUGUGUAUGAUACUUAAAUAUUUUGGCAUGUAUUUGUUGGAUGCACUAGGAUGUUACCAACCCUAAUAUGUAUCUUUCUUCUUAGAUACUUUUACAUAUGUUGGUUAGAUUUAUGUUGUGUCUGAGAAGUAUACUCUCUAUGUGAAUGGUUAUUAUCAUUAUCGUUAUGAACUCAAU